GCUUUUUCCUCCGUCUGCUCUCGGUUAAUCAUGUCAUUAAUAUAUGCUUGGUCUUGUGAUACCUUUUGCUGCCUAGUUUUUGUCUGAGUAUAAAGGGGUUCAUAAAUGAAAAUUGUUACCCUUUUCUUUUUGCUAUCUAGGAAAGGAUUUUAAAUAGGUGCAUUUGAGAUAAAUGUUCAAUAGGAAUAUCUAGUUGAUUGCUCACUGUUAUCUUAAUUAAAUAUCUUCAUUCGGAAUUCUUACUUUUGCUCUUAUGGAGAAUGUCCAUCAUGCUUUUGAUUUUUAGAAGUUAUUGUACGUUUGGAGUCAACUUUGCCGUAACUUCUGUGUUAUCCAUACAUACAUAUGUGCCUUAUUCGGGAACCUCUUUUGCAAGUGUUUGAAUAAUUCUUAGCUAAUCAUUAUAUAUUUUCUCUCGUUAAUUCGUUUAUUUUGUUCCAUGUCAUUUUUCUCUAGCUAAUGUUUUGCCUUUCUUUUAUGGCAUUGACCGAGUCCCUCGGGAAUCCUCGUUUCCUCUUGCAUCCUUUAAUUGAGCUGUGAAAGUUCAAUUUUUCCCGUCUAUUCAGCCAUCUUGGCAACUUUAGGAUAUAGCUGGAUAGGUUGAAGACAACAAUAUAUUGCUGGAAAUCAAUUUUCCAGCCCCCCAAAAAGCCUAAAAGACGUUGAUAUACCAGCUAUAUACACUGGCAUACAGCUGGAAUAUACCAAAAACAUGUGCAAAUGUGGAAAUGCAGACCAGAAAAUACAGCAUACAAAAUUAGAUAUAAUACCGAUUUCAGAAGGUUCAAAAUAUAAUGGAUACGCAUCAUAUACAACGGUAAUACCAUCGAAGGUUGAUAUGUAUGUUCUUGUUGAAGGACCAAAGAAGUACAUAGUAAAUUUAAAUACAAGGUGUGUAGUUGCGAGAUAUAUCACCAUUAUGAAAUACCAUGUGAUCAUGUAAUUGCAGUUCUUAAACACAAGAAACUGCAUGAAACAUAUUUCUGUUCUGUCUUUUAUAGCCUGAAGAAUUUCAGAGGUGCAUAUGUCAUCCCUGUUUAACCUAUCCCAUGCGAGAGUACGUGGGAUAUACCCAGUUAUAUUUCAAAGCCUAAAUUGAUGGCACCCGGUCCAAGUAGAUCAGUUAGAAAAUCGCAUGUUGAACGUUGGAUGAAGUUUGCUGAUGUGAAAUUCAAAAGGUCAAAGGUUACUUGUAGUAGAUGUCGUCAAGUUGGACAUAACAGAAAGACAUGUUCAAAUUAUCCUGUUAAAAAAAUGGUUUCAUGAUUUUUACUUUUUGUUACACAACAUGUUUUGUUUUAUGGAAUGAAUUUGGUAUAAUUAAUAUUUGA